ensembl:miRNA
AUCCCAGAUCAGAUGCCAAACCCAGUGGGGAUUGGACAACAUGAUGAGCCCAAACCAAUCCACGCUGAGCUUGGCAUCUGAUUUGGGA